rnacentral:rRNA from 1 species
UACAGAGACUGCAAGCGUUAUUCGGAUUUACUGGGCGUAAAGGGUGCGCAGGCGGCCAAGUGUGUUAGGCGUGAAAGCCCGGGGCUUAACCCCGGAAUUGCACCUAAAACUACAUGGCUAGAGCAUUGGAGAGGGUAGCGGAAUUCACGGUGUAGCAGUGAAAUGCGUAGAUAUCGUGAGGAACACCAGAGGCGAAGGCGGCUACCUGGACAAUUGCUGACGCUCAGGCACGAAAGCGUGGGGAGCAAACGGG